rnacentral:rRNA from 1 species
UACGUAGGGUGCAAGCGUUGUCCGGAUUAUUGGGCGUAAAGAGCUCGUAGGCGGUUUGUCGCGUCUGCUGUGAAAACUCGGGGCUUAACUCCGGGCCUGCAGUGGGUACGGGCAGACUAGAGUGCGGUAGGGGAGACUGGAAUUCCUGGUGUAGCGGUGAAAUGCGCAGAUAUCAGGAGGAACACCGGUGGCGAAGGCGGGUCUCUGGGCCGUAACUGACGCUGAGGAGCGAAAGCGUGGGGAGCGAACAGG